UUGGUAGGGAUUAAAAAGGAAAAAAAGGCUUCAAUGUCUAAAGGUUGACUUUUAGGAAUUUCAUCCUCCGAGGGAGUAAGAGAAAAGAGGAAUUAAGAGGGGCAUAUCAUAAGAAGUAAACCACCUUGAAAGGAAGUGAAAUGAAGAGGAUUUACUGAUAGAAGCAAUGUUUUUUCUAGGGAUUAAAGAGGAAAAAAAGGCUUCAAUGACUAAAGGUUGACUUUUAGGAAUUUCAUCCUCCGAGGGAGUAAGAGAAAAGAGGAAUUAAGAGGGGCAUAUCAUAAGAAGUAAACCACCUUGAAAGGAAGUGAAAUGAAGACAAUUUACAGAUAGAAGCAAUGUUUUUUUCUAGGGAUUAAAGAGGAAAAAAGGCUUCAUUGUCUAAAGGUUUACUUUUAGGAUUUUAAUCUUACGAGGGAAUGAGAGAAAAGACGAAUUAAGAGGGGCACAUCAUAAGAAGUAAACCACCUUGAAAGGAA